rnacentral:rRNA from 1 species
GAUGAACGCUGGCGGCGUGCCUAAUACAUGCAAGUCGAGCGAACGGACGAGAAGCUUGCUUCUCUGAUGUUAGCGGCGGACGGGUGAGUAACACGUGGAUAACCUACCUAUAAGACUGGGAUAACUUCGGGAAACCGGAGCUAAUACCGGAUAAUAUUUUGAACCGCAUGGUUCAAAAGUAAAAGACGGUCUUGCUGUCACUUAUAGAUGGAUCCGCGCUGCAUUAGCUAGUUGGUAAGGUAACGGCUUACCAAGGCAACGAUGCAUAGCCGACCUGAGAGGGUGAUCGGCCACACUGGAACUGAGACACGGUCCAGACUCCUACGGGAGGCAGCAGUAGGGAAUCUUCCGCAAUGGGCGAAAGCCUGACGGAGCAACGCCGCGUGAGUGAUGAAGGUCUUCGGAUCGUAAAACUCUGUUAUUAGGGAAGAACAUAUGUGUAAGUAACUGUGCACAUCUUGACGGUACCUAAUCAGAAAGCCACGGCUAACUACGUGCCAGCAGCCGCGGUAAUACGUAGGUGGCAAGCGUUAUCCGGAAUUAUUGGGCGUAAAGCGCGCGUAGGCGGUUUUUUAAGUCUGAUGUGAAAGCCCACGGCUCAACCGUGGAGGGUCAUUGGAAACUGGAAAACUUGAGUGCAGAAGAGGAAAGUGGAAUUCCAUGUGUAGCGGUGAAAUGCGCAGAGAUAUGGAGGAACACCAGUGGCGAAGGCGACUUUCUGGUCUGUAACUGACGCUGAUGUGCGAAAGCGUGGGGAUCAAACAGGAUUAGAUACCCUGGUAGUCCACGCCGUAAACGAUGAGUGCUAAGUGUUAGGGGGUUUCCGCCCCUUAGCGCUGCAGCUAACGCAUUAAGCACUCCGCCUGGGGAGUACGACCGCAAGGUUGAAACUCAAAGGAAUUGACGGGGACCCGCACAAGCGGUGGAGCAUGUGGUUUAAUUCGAAGCAACGCGAAGAACCUUACCAAAUCUUGACAUCCUUUGACAACUCUAGAGAUAGAGCCUUCCCCUUCGGGGGACAAAGUGACAGGUGGUGCAUGGUUGUCGUCAGCUCGUGUCGUGAGAUGUUGGGUUAAGUCCCGCAACGAGCGCAACCCUUAAGCUUAGUUGCCAUCAUUAAGUUGGGCACUCUAAGUUGACUGCCGGUGACAAACCGGAGGAAGGUGGGGAUGACGUCAAAUCAUCAUGCCCCUUAUGAUUUGGGCUACACACGUGCUACAAUGGACAAUACAAAGGGCAGCGAAACCGCGAGGUCAAGCAAAUCCCAUAAAGUUGUUCUCAGUUCGGAUUGUAGUCUGCAACUCGACUACAUGAAGCUGGAAUCGCUAGUAAUCGUAGAUCAGCAUGCUACGGUGAAUACGUUCCCGGGUCU